AUGUGUAAGAACAUAAUCUAGUACGAUGAAUCUGCGAACGGCUCAUUAAAUCAGCUAUAAUCUCUUCGAUCUCGUAUCCUAAACGGAUAUCUGCGAUAAAUUUGGAGCUAAUACGUGCCUCGAAGCGUCAACCAAGCAAUUGGAAGAUGCGCACUUAUUAGAUCAAGACCAAUCGGGUUUUCCCGAAGUGGUGACUCUGAAUAAUUUCGCUGAUCGCAUGGUCUUGUACCGGCGACGUAUCGUUCGAGUGUCUGCCCUAUCAACUGUUGAUGGGAGUCUAUGUGACUGCCAUGGUUGUAACGGGUAACGGAGGAUAAGGGUUCGACUCCGAAGAGGGAGCCUUAGAAACGGCUACCACAUCCAAGGAAGGCAGCAGGCGUGCAAAUUACCCACUCUCAAUGCGAGGAGGUAGUGACUGUCAAUAACGAGACAGAUCUCUCUGAGGCCUGUCAUCGGAAUGAGAACAAUCCAAAACCUUUAACGAGGAUCUAUGAGAGGGCAAGUCUGGUGCCAGCAGCCGCGGUAAUUCCAGCUCUCAAGGCGUAUAUCGUCAUUGCUGCGGUUAAAAAGCUCGUAGUUGGAUCUGAGUCUUCAGACGCGGUGCACCGUUUGGUGUUUACUGUGUUCUGUGACUGUUACGAUGGUUUUCUGGCGUGCUUCGGUGCGUCAGUGGCUGUCGUGAUUACCUUGAAUAAAUCAAAGUGCUCAAGACGGGCGUUUAGCUUGUAUGUUCGUGCAUGGAAUAAUGGAAUAUGACUGCGGUUCAUUCUGUUGGUCUUGGAACCGAAGUAAUGGUUAAGAGGGACAGACGGGGGCAUCCGUAUCGCUGCGUGAGAGGUGAAAUUCUUGGACCGCAGCGGGACGACCUAUUGCGAAAGCAUUUGCCAAGAAUGUCUUCAUUAAUCAAGAACGAAAGUCAGAGGAUCGAAGGCGAUUAGAUACCGCCCUAGUUCUGACCGUAAACGAUGCCAACUAGCGAUCAGGUGAUGGUAGCUUAGCCUUGCCUGGGAGCUUCCCGGAAACGAAAGUCUUCGGGUUCCGGGGGUAGUAUGGUUGCAAAGCUGAAACUUAAAGGAAUUGACGGAAGGGCACCACCAGGAGUGGAGCCUGCGGCUUAAUUUGACUCAACACGGGAAAACUCACCCGGCCCGGACACUGUAAUGAUUGACAGAUUGAGAGUUCUUUCUUGAUUCGGUGGUUGGUGGUGCAUGGCCGUUCUUAGUUGGUGGAGCGAUUUGUCUGGUUUAUUCCGAUAACGAACGAGACUCUAACCUGCUAACUAGUUUCACGAUUGUUACGUCGUGCGAACUUCUUAGAGGGAUCAGUGGUUUUCAGCCACACGAAAUUGAGCAAUAACAGGUCUGUGAUGCCCUUAGAUGUUCGGGGCUGCACGCGCGCUACACUGGAAGGAUCAACAUGCGUUCUCCUUGGCCGAAAGGUCAUUGGUAAACCUUUGAAAACCUUCCAUGAUUGGGAUAGGGAAUUGCAAUUAUUUCCCUUGAACGAGGAAUUCCCAGUAAGUGUGAGUCAUCAGCUCGCGCUGAUUACGUCCCUGCCCUUUGUACACACCGCCCGUCGCUGCCCGGGACUGAGUUGCUUCGAGAAAUGUGGGGACUGUCGCCACGGGGUGCUUGCACUCUGCGGCGAUAGAAACCGCAUUAAUCGCAGUGGCUUGAACCGGGC
rnacentral:rRNA from 1 species